rnacentral:rRNA from 1 species
GACGAACGCUGGCGGCGUGCUUAACACAUGCAAGUCGAACGAAGUGGCGAACGGGUGAGUAACGCGUAAUCAACCUGCCCUUCAGAGGGGGACAACAGUUGGACACGACUGCUAAUAACGCAUACUGAAGGAGGGGAUUGCGUCUGAUUAGCUAGUUGGAGGGGUAACGGCCCACCAAGGCGAUGGUCAGUAGCCGGUCCGAGAGGAUGAACGGCCAACUUGGGAAGGAGACAAGGCCCAGACUCCGACGGGAGGCAGCAGGGGGGAAUCUUCCGCAAUGGACGAAAGUCUGACGGAGCAACGCCGCGUGAGUGAUGACGGCCUUCGGGUUGUAAAGCUCUGUUAAUCGGGACGCGGUACCGGAAUAGAAAGCCACGGCUAACUACGUGCCAGCCGCCGCGGUAAUAC